rnacentral:lncRNA from 10 species
CUAAUCUUAGAUGUAAACAUUCAAAUUUACCCUGUAGACUUGGGUGACAAGUUUCGGUUGGUCAUAGCUAGUACCUUGUAUGAAGAUGGUACCCUGGAUGAUGGUGAAUACAACCCCACUGAUGAUAGGCCUUCCAGGUGAGGGAGUGGAGAAGGUAAUACUUGAAAUAUGCCUUGAGGACUAAGUAGAUAAGUGAUAUAGAAAGACUCUUCUAAAAUUCCUGGAAUAAAUGAUGAUCAGCAGAAUCUGAGUAACCUUAAGGAAAUUUCUGCACUUAAGAAUUCAAACAGGCCAGGCACCGUGGCUCACACCUGUAACCCAAGCACUUUGGGAGGCCGAGGCAGGAGGAUUGCUUGAGUCCAGGAGUUCAAGACCAGCCUGAGCAACAUAGCGAAACCUCACUGCUACAAAAAAGAAGAGAGAAAAAAAAAAAA